ACUUGGCUACUGAGUCGCAAAUAGGACGAAACGCGCGUCCUGGAU
rnacentral:hammerhead_ribozyme from 1 species